ACCUAAAUAGUUUAUUUAAAACAUUAAUUUGUGGAAUUAAAGAUAUAUUUGGAUAUUUUAGGUA
rnacentral:tRNA from 1 species